CUCUUAUUAUGAGUGGAGCGAGGGAUUUGGCCCUGGGACCUCCCGGCAACCAUCGAGCUAAGCUCGAUAUGGUGCCCAUUCCAUCCCCGUUGAGUAACGGGGCAGAUAAGAA
rnacentral:ncRNA from 2 species